rnacentral:rRNA from 1 species
AUGGACCAGGCAUGCCCAGCAAUAGUGUGUGAGGAAUGUGGCAGUGGAGCGUACCAAGAGCUUUUGGUAAACUGCACCCAGUGCAAUGGCUAUCGACACCGUUACUGCUUGGUUGUGGUGGAAUUUGAAAUGAUACAUGAAUGGUGCUGCGGUGAAUGCCAAAAAAAGGAUAAUGGGGACACAAAACCUAUUGAAGGUGAAAAUUCUGAAGUGAAACCCAUUCCCUCUCAAGAGGUGGCACUAUUAAGUAUGCCAACUACUGAUAAUUGGCCAAGGUUUGUUGUGCGACAUAAACGCACUCCACGAAAGAUGAAGUGUGUAUCUCCCAAUAGGAGUGAAAAUCAAGCAUUUGCCCUGAAACGAUGCGCUAUUGCAAGUCAAAACCAGAUAAAAGUUGAGGAUAUGAACAAGAGACAGAAAGUACUGUCGGGUGCAACUAUGUUUACAUACAACAGAAACGGAAAAGUUAAAAACAAUGACCAUCAGCUUCGAGAUCAGCCUAAAGAAGCAAAGGUAGCCGGUGCUGCAGAUAAAAGAAAAUUCAACUCCUGGGUAGGCGAUCAGCCUACUGGAAAAAUGGCAUUCAGUGCUUCAGUGCCCACAGAUGCUAACAUUGGACGCGGAUCUGGAACAAAGAGUCUGAACAACAAUAUAGACAUGCCAGUGAUCAUCAGCUCAAGUGCAGAGUAUGCAAGACGCCCUCCACCAGAAGCAGUCUGUUGGACGGGAUGCUUUCUUCUCUCUGAUGGAGAAAUUUUCAAUCUUGGUGAAUUUAAAGCAUACCACCCAUCGGUAGUAUCACCCAGAGUUUGUAAUAUCGCCAAGAAGAUGCCUACUAAUAUGCAAUUGAAGAUAUCACCUCGAAAGAAUUACUGGCCAAAGACGUUUGAGAAAAUCUCUCCAGUUUAUGAAGACAUCGCCUUGUUAUUUUUCUCUGCUGAAGUUGACUGUUGGAACAAGAAGCAUCCUUGUCUCGUGGAUACGCGCUGCGGUUUUGUCAUGCACGCAUAUAUCGAUGACAUGAUGUUGUUGAUGUAUUCCUCAGAAGUGCUUCCACCCGAUUGUCAGUGGAUAGACGGAAAGAGUUACUUAUGGGGAGUUUUUGUGAAGCCAAAGUCAAAGAGCAAUCAUGCACGGUUAGGUUCAGUUGCUACAUGA